rnacentral:rRNA from 1 species
AUUGAACGCUGGCGGCAUGCCUUACACAUGCAAGUCGAACGGUAGAGGGGGCAACCCCUCGAGAGUGGCGAACGGGUGAGUAAAGCAUCGGAACGUGCCCAGUAGUGGGGGAUAGCCCGACGAAAGCCGGAUUAAUACCGCAUGAGACCUACGGGUGAAAGGGGGGGAUCGCAAGACCUCUCGCUAUUGGAGCGGCCGAUGUCAGAUUAGGUAGUUGGUGGGGUAAAGGCCUACCAAGCCGACGAUCUGUAGCUGGUCUGAGAGGACGACCAGCCACACUGGGACUGAGACACGGCCCAGACUCCUACGGGAGGCAGCAGUGGGGAAUUUUGGACAAUGGGCGAAAGCCUGAUCCAGCCAUGCCGCGUGCGGGAAGAAGGCCUUCGGGUUGUAAACCGCUUUUGUCAGGGAAGAAAUCCUUUGAGCUAAUACCUCGGGGGGAUGACGGUACCUGAAGAAUAAGCACCGGCUAACUACGUGCCAGCCGCCGCGGUAAUAC